ensembl:snRNA U6 U6 spliceosomal RNA
GUGCUCGCUUCAGCAGCAUAUUUUCUAAAAUUCAAAGAAUACAGAGAUUAGCAUGGCUCCUGCGCAAGCAUGACAUGCAAAUUUGUGAAGCAUUCCAUAUUUAA